AUUGAACGCUGGCGGCAGGCCUAACACAUGCAAGUCGAACGGUAACAGGAAGCAGCUUGCUGCUUUGCUGACGAGUGGCGGACGGGUGAGUAAUGUCUGGGAAACUGCCUGAUGGGGGGGGAUAACUACUGGAAACGGUAGCUAAUACCGCAUAACGUCGCAAGACCAAAGAGGGGGACCUUCGGGCCUCUUGCCAUCCGAUGUGCCCAGAUGGGAUUAGCUAGUAGGUGGGGUAACGGCUCACCUAGGCGACGAUCCCUAGCUGGUCUGAGAGGAUGACCAGCCACACUGGAACUGAGACACGGUCCAGACUCCUACGGGAGGCAGCAGUGGGGAAUAUUGCACAAUGGGCGCAAGCCUGAUGCAGCCAUGCCGCGUGUAUGAAGAAGGCCUUCGGGUUGUAAAGUACUUUCAGCGGGGAGGAAGGGAGUAAAGUUAAUACCUUUGCUCAUUGACGUUACCCGCAGAAGAAGCACCGGCUAACUCCGUG
rnacentral:rRNA from 1 species